AUUGAACGCUGGCGGCAGGCCUAACACAUGCAAGUCGAGCGGAGCGGCGGACGGGUGGGUAAUGCCUAGGAGUCUGCCUGGCAGUGGGAGAUAACGUCCGGAAACGGGCGGUAAUACAGCAUACUCUCAGAUGAGCCUAGGUCGGUUUAGCUAGUUGGUGGGGUAAAGGCCUACCAAGGCGACGAUCCGUAGCUGGUCUGAGUGGAUGAUCAGGCACACUGGAACUGCGACACGGUCCAGACUCCUACGGGAGGCAGCAGUGGGGAAUAUUGGACAAUGGGCGUAAGCCUGAUCCAGCCAUGCCGCGGGUGUGAAGAAGGUCUUCGGAUUGUAAAGCACUUUAAGUUGGGAGGCGUUACCAGCAGAAUAAGCACCGGCUAACUUCGUGCCAGCCGCCGCGGUAAUUC
rnacentral:rRNA from 1 species